AAACCGUGGUGGAGACAUUCUCUUAUGUACCUUUUAUAACGAUCCCAAGCUUCAUGAAAAAGUUCUCCUUCUUUUUGUUGGAAUCUAUAAAUCUUGUUUCUAAUGAAGUUU
rfam:Eutrema salsugineum unplaced genomic scaffold scaffold_12, whole genome shotgun sequence.